rnacentral:sRNA from 1 species
AAAAUAUUAGCCAACAAUAAAUUUUGUUUAACUUUCCUUGAAAUGACUUUAGUAAACUAUUUCUAGUUUAUGUCUGUCUCGUUUUGGAUAUCACUCUUUUCGUACUAUAAUCUCAACAACAAAAAAUGAAGAUUAAAUUUUGAUUUAUUAAUUUAGUUCUGUAUUAGAGGUAUUAAAUAAAUUGAUCAAUUAUUUGCUUUUAAUUUGAUUAAAUAGAUGUACUCAUAAUUUUUACCCGGUGUGUUUUGUUUAAAUCAAUUAAAUCAAAAAUCAUUAACCGUUAUAAAACGUAUUAACUUUUUUCAAUGCUUUCCUUUACUAACUGAAAAACCAGAUUGGUUCUAAAAACAGAUUUUAUUCAUUUUUUUUUUUUUUUUAGAGUUUUCUCAUGUUUGCAAAUUAUUAUUUAGAUAAAGAUAAAAUAAAUUGCGAUGCUAAAUGUAUUUUGAUGUUGGUUAGACAAGCUAUCAACAUUAACUUGUUGAUAAUAACACGUGUCAAAUAAAUUUUAGAGAUAUCUUCUAGUAACUAUAAGGGGAAAUAUUCCAUUUUUCUAUCAAAAAAGUGAAAUUAAUCUCAAGGAAAAGUUCUGCUUUUCCUGUUUUUUUCCUGUUGUAUGUAUCUUCAUUUCACGUUGGUUUGACUUUUUAUUAAAUCAUUUCAUCAAUUAAAAAUGCUAACGCCUUGUUAAUAAAGUAAUCUAAAAUUAAUAUCUUGUGACCAGAAAGAUUGAUGAGAGUGUAUCUGUUUACUUUAUGCUUCUUUUGUGUCAAAUAAAAGUAAACAGCGUUGCCUUAUACUGUGUUUUAUCUUUGUAAGGCCGCUUUGAUUAAAAUUACAUGAUAUAUAAUUGUACAACCAAGUU